CGUUAAUCGGAAUUACUGGGCGUAAAGCGCGCGUAGGCGGUUUGCUAAGUCAGAUGUGAAAUCCCCGGGCUCAACCUGGGAAUGGCAUUUGAGACUGGUAGGCUAGAAUGUGGUAGAGGUGAGUGGAAUUCCAGGUGUAGCGGUGAAAUGCGUAGAGAUCUGGAGGAACAUCAGUGGCGAAGGCGACUCACUGGGCCAUUAUUGACGCUGAGGUGCGAAAGCGUGGGUAGCAAACAGGAUUAGAUACCCUGGUAGUCCACGCCCUAAACGAUGUCAACUAGGUGUAUGGGAAAUUUAUUUCUUGUGUAUCGAAGCUAACGCGAUAAGUUGACCGCCUGGGGAGUACGGUCGCAAGACUAAAACUCAAAUGAAUUGACGGGGGCCCGCACAAGCGGUGGAGCAUGUGGUUUAAUUCGAUGCAACGCGAAGAACCUUACCUGGCCUUGACAUGCACGGAACUUUCCAGAGAUGGAUUGGUGCCUUCGGGAACCGUGACACAGGUGCUGCAUGGCUGUUGUCAGCUCGUGUCGUGAGAUGUUGGGUUAAGUCCCGCGACGAGCGCAACCCCUGUCCUUAGUUGCCAUCAUUCAGUUGGGCACUCUAAGGAGACUGCCGGUGACAAACCGGAGGAAGGUGGGGAUGACGUCAAGUCAUCAUGGCCCUUAUGGCCAGGGCUACACACGUGCUACAAUGGCAAGUACAAAGGGUUGCUAACUCGCGAGAGUGUGCUAAUCCCAUAAAGCUUGUCGUAGUCCGGAUCGCAGUCUGCAACUCGACUGCGUGAAGUCGGAAUCGCUAGUAAUCGCGGAUCAGAAUGCCGCGGUGAAUACGUUCCCGGGCCUUGUACACACCGCCCGUCACACCAUGGGAGUUGGCUGCAAAAGAAG
rnacentral:rRNA from 1 species